UUUUCCUGCCAAAACCGUAAAAUCAUAUUUUUCCCGCCAAACCCGUAAAAUCAUAUUUUUCUGCCAAAACUACAAAGUAUAUUUUCCACCAACCGCAAAUCAUAUUUUUUAUGUU
rnacentral:sRNA from 1 species